rnacentral:rRNA from 1 species
GUGGAUUAGAUACCCUGGUAGUCCACGCCUUAAACGAUGGAUACUAGUUGUCGGGAAGUUUAACUUCUUGGUGACGCAGCUAACGCAAUAAGUAUCCCGCCUGGGGAGUACGGCCGCAAGGUUAAAACUCAAAGGAAUUGACGGGGGCCCGCACAAGCGGUGGAGCAUGUGGUUCAAUUCGAUGCAACGCGAAAAACCUUACCUACCCUUGACAUCUACAGAACUUUGCAGAGAUGCAGAGGUGCCUUCGGGAACUGUAAGACAGGUGCUGCACGGCCGUCGACAGCU